rnacentral:rRNA from 1 species
UACGUAGGGUGCAAGCGUUGUCCGGAAUUAUUGGGCGUAAAGAGCUCGUAGGCGGUUUGUCGCGUCUGCUGUGAAAACUCGGGGCUUAACCCCGGGCCUGCAGUGGGUACGGGCAGACUAGAGUGUUGCAGGGGAGACUGGAAUUCCUGGUGUAGCGGUGAAAUGCGCAGAUAUCAGGAGGAACACCGGUGGCGAAGGCGGGUCUCUGGGCAACAACUGACGCUGAGGAGCGAAAGCGUGGGGAGCGAACAGG